AAGCGUGUAGGCGAUCAGAGCCGCGUGAACGGCGCCCGUGCGCAUGAAGGAGGCGC
rnacentral:sRNA from 1 species